ACCAGGCGCCUAGAUGCCAACCUCAUCUCCCUGGUCCCGGAGAGGAGCUUUGAGGGGCUGUCCUCCCUCCGCCACCUCUGGCUGGACGACAAUGCACUCACGGAGAUCCCUGUCAGGGCCCUCAACAACCUCCCUGCCCUGCAGGCCAUGACCCUGGCCCUCAACCGCAUCAGCCACAUCCCCGACUACGCGUUCCAGAAUCUCACCAGCCUUGUGGUGCUGCAUUUGCAUAACAACCGCAUCCAGCAUCUGGGGACCCACAGCUUCGAGGGGCUGCACAAUCUGGAGACACUGUGAGUUUUGAGGUCUUGGUCAAACUCUGUCCUGCCUGGUGAUGAAAGCCUGGAGUCCUGGAGUGGAGGGAGCACACAGAGGGAAGAGCCAGCAGUCCUGGGAUGCUGGGGCUUGUUUACCCACAUGCCCCUCCCUGGCACUUUCUCUG
rnacentral:sRNA from 1 species